UCUAUACAUGACUCUGCGCAUAUCAAUAAGCGGAGGAAAAGAAACUAACAAGGAUUCCCUUAGUAACGGCGAGUGAAGCGGGAAGAGCUCAAAUUUGAAAUCUUCAAGGUUUUACCUUGACGAAUAGUAGUUUAAAGAAGAGUUUUCUGCUGAAGUUUUGGUAAAAGUUCUUUGGAAUAGGACAUCAUAGAGGGUGAGAAUCCCGUAUUUGACCAUUAUUUUCAGCUUUGUGAUACACUUUCAAAGAGUCGGAUUGUUUGGGAAUGCAGUCCAAAAUGGGUGGUAAAUUUCAUCUAAAGCUAAAUAUUGGCGAGAGACCGAUAGCGAACAAGUACCGUGAGGGAAAGAUGAAAAGGACUUUGAAAAGAGAGUUAAACAGUACGUGAAAUUGUCAAAAGGGAAGCGUUUGACACCAGUGUUGUUUUUCUGAAAAUCAAUUAAAGAACUGUUUAUGCUAAGCUGUUUAGACUUUAUCAGCUAUCUGUUUAGUUUUGAGCUUUUCUUUAGUGCACUUUUCAGUUAACAAGUCAACAUCAAUUUCUUUUGCUGUAAAAAAGCUUGAGGAAGGUGGCUUGAGAUUCGUCUUAAGUGUUUAUAGCCUCUUGCCUAUGCAGUCGGAGAGAUUGAGGUCUGCAGCGUAGAUCCUUCGGGGCUAAAUGCAUUUGUGCUAAGUUAUAGCAUUUUAUAGACAACUUGUUGACUAUGAUUUGUCUUGUAGCUUACUCGCUUAUGUUAUUUUACCUACGCUUAGGAUGUUGACAGCAGUAUAGACUGU
rnacentral:rRNA from 1 species